UAAUGCGGCCCGUACUGCAGAGGGCUAGGUGUGUGUGCAGACCCAGAGAGGAUGUGGGGGGAGGGAAGGAGGGAGAGAGGCCAAUACAUCACAGGAAGGAGGAUCUCCAGACACAGGGAAAAUAAGUCCAGCUCACAACACCCUGAAGACUGCACGUAACGGGAGAUCGGCCUGCUUCGAGGUCAAGCUGGCCUGGUUUGUAAGAAAUGUAUCGUCGAGGUGGAGACAGGGGGUGGCAUCAAGGACAUCAUAGAGAGAAUUUCCCCCGUAGAAAUCACCAGUCUGUUCCUUACAGAGGAGGCUACCAGGAUCAUCGGUAA